ensembl:lncRNA novel transcript
GCGCGAGCGCGGCGCGCAGCUUGGGUUCCUGCCGGCGCCUCUCCCUCCACACCUCACCUCAAACAGAGGGAGCCGGCUCCGGUCUCGGCCAGCCCAGAGAGGGCCUCCCAUAGUGCAGCGGCGGGCUGAAGGUCUCCUCAAGCGCUGCCAGAGUGGGCGUCGAGGCUGAGGAGACACCGAGAGCGAGUGAGGGCUGCAAGCAUGCUGUCACCUCUCAGUAAUUUGAGAAAAUUUCUGUUUUCUAUGGGUUGGGAGCAGCAAGUACUGCAGCCCAUUUGAGGUAUGAUAAUCAGCUGAUUAGCUAGUGGAGUCGUUUUCCCUGAGGCUCUUUUGUGUGCAAAAUCCUCACACUCAAUUGACAUGUGGACAUCAUAAAGCUGAUGAAAUGCAAUUGUAAUGAACAAGAGGGAGCGGCAUCUGCAGCCGUCUAAAUGAAGGACCCUUUCCUCUCGCCAUGCUAAUUCAGAAAAUCUGCUCUUAACGUGUACUCCCCCUGGAUUCCAAAUUGAGGCACAUCUCCAUGAAUGCAUAUUCAAGGAGUGAAUUAGCCUCUGUGGCAAGUGAGCGCCUAGCCUGGCCAGACUGAUUCUAAUUUCAAGACAGAUUAUACUGCAUCAACCAUAGUAAUGAUCUGACAGUUCAUUUGUGAUGAGAGUCCUACAGUCAGCUUUACUGCUCGGACAGACAGGUGCACAGAGAGAGCCAGCAAGACCUCUCAGAAAACACCAAAGGCUGCUGUCAAAUGAUUUCAGCCCAAAUAGCCAGAUGAAGGAGAAAAGAGUCAUAGAAAAGCAUCUGGCCAAAGAUGCCAUUCUUCAAUUCAGAGGGAAGACUUUCUGGAGCUUCAUGGCUUAACAGUUAACCGAGUAUCCUUGUAACAGCUAAGUACCCUUAGCUUAACAAAUAAAAAAACUGAAACGCAUUUGGAAAGACAAAGGCUACGUAGCAGGAGUCAGCUUUCUAGAUUAAUAUUACAACAACAUAAACAACAAUCAACAUUGAUUGGGCACUAGGUUCUGUGCUGGGUUUGUUCCUAUGUCAUUUCAUUCAAUCCUCACAGGAGUCCAAGGAGAUGCACUAUUAUUUUCUUCAUGUCACAGAUGAGGAAAUGAGAAUGAAGAUGUCGAGUGACUAUUCCAAAGGCAUAGUAAGGAGUACCCAGCCUUUGAACCCUCCUUUCUGAAUGGAAGUGUCCCUCUAAUCAUCCUUGCUAAACAUUAUAGCUUCAAAAUUAAAGAAUGGCCAAACUUGGCCAUAAAGGAGUAGGAGUAAAUAAAGAUGAUGACUGGAGCUAAAA